UGGCGAUUUUGCAGUUCAAGCAGAAGUGAUCUCGACGAGCCUAUAUCAGAGAGUGUGAGAUAGCAACUUCACCACACAUGGAUGUCACACUGGCCUCACCAUUCUAAUUGUCUUGUUGGAUCUGAGACAUCACCAAGUGUUACCUGAGCUUUCAUCCAGAUGAAAGUCGUACUGUGUAAAUGUCACCAAAGACCCUCCUAAUGUGACAUCAAUCUUCAACAUGAAUCUUAGCAGUGAGCUUUUGGGGUAGAGGUGAUGGAUCAGCA